UUUGUAAUUUAAUUUUAAAUUAUUUGUUGGCCAAUCUUGUAGGUUAUUACCAAGGCCCUCCAGUCAUGGCACCUCCACAAUAUGCUGCACCACCACCCAGGAGAGAACCAGGCUUCCUUGAGGGCUGUCUUGCUGCUCUGUGUUGCUGCUGCCUUCUUGACGAGUGUUGCUGCGAUCCCUCCGUCCUCUUUUUCUUUUAGAAUAUAUCAUGUAUCCUUGAAUAAUUCCACUCCUAUUGUAAUGUUUGAAGGUGAUCUUGUUGGAUCAUUUUAAUUUAUUUAGGGUUUAGGGUUUAUUUAUGUACAA